AGUCCGCACGCCGGCCGGCAGCUCAGCGAGAGCUGGGCGGAGCCUGACGCGCCCACAACAUGGGCGGGGCCAGGGACAGAGAAUGGACUCAGUUUCCCAGAGAAGAUCCCAGCCUGGGAAGUCAAGGGCAGACCUGGCAAGGGAAGAUAGCUCAUCGUGGUAGAAAUUUCCGGAUCAUUUGUCCACUUGCCUUUGGGAGGACGUCUUGAUGGCUGCCAGGCUUUGCUGGUCAGAUGCUGAAGAAGCACUGUUGGGGGCCUCUGGUCUCGGAAGUUUUGUCAGCCUGACUUCUUGAGAUACCAGCAGAAGAACUAUGUCUAAGUCAGCGUUUCUCCCAGAAAUGCUGUGUCCUCUGGUUCCAGGCCCAGCGCUUUCCUCUGAGCGUCUGUCUGCACCCUUCAUUCCUGCCCCUCUGCCCACAUGCCGCUCCUUCCUGUUUAGGUUGGAUAGCAGGCUGCCUCUGGCCAUCAGAACCGUUGCUGACCUUGGCUGUCCUCACCUGCUGGGCAGACACAAAGUGAGGCCAACAUCUGGACCCAGAGGAGAAAUUCAAGUCCAUUUGUGGAAACACUCAUGAGGCCGGAAGGCCUCUCUGUCCAAGGCCAAAACACCACACCAUUGUUUUCCAGUUCCAAACAGGAAGGCAACCUGAGUGUGCUUGGGCAAAGUCCUGAGGGAAAGGACGGGAACCCGAGGUGGAUGUAAGGGGUCAAGUGAUCUCACAUUAAAAAGGGGGCCACAGUCUCUUCUAAUAAACAGUGUAUAUAACGUUCUGUAUCCU